GAUGAACGCUGGCGGCGUGCCUAAUACAUGCAAGUCGAGCGAACGGACGAGAAGCUUGCUUCUCUGAUGUUAGCGGCGGACGGGUGAGUAACACGUGGAUAACCUACCUAUAAGACUGGGAUAACUUCGGGAAACCGGAGCUAAUACCGGAUAAUAUUUUGAACCGCAUGGUUCAAAAGUGAAAGACGGUCUUGCUGUCACUUAUAGAUGGAUCCGCGCUGCAUUAGCUAGUUGGUAAGGUAACGGCUUACCAAGGCAACGAUGCAUAGCCGACCUGAGAGGGUGAUCGGCCACACUGGAACUGAGACACGGUCCAGACUCCUACGGGAGGCAGCAGUAGGGAAUCUUCCGCAAUGGGCGAAAGCCUGACGGAGCAACGCCGCGUGAGUGAUGAAGGUCUUCGGAUCGGAAAACUCUGUUAUUAGGGAAGAACAUAUGUGUAAGUAACUGUGCACAUCUUGACGGUACCUAAUCAGAAAGCCACGGCUAACUACG
rnacentral:rRNA from 1 species